CCUACGGGAGGCAGCAGUAGGGAAUAUUGCGCAAUGGAGGAAACUCUGACGCAGCGACGCCGCGUGGGUGACGAAGGUCUUCGGAUCGUAAAGCCCUGUCGGAGGGGACGAAAGACACCAAGAUAAUACCUUGGUGGGAUGACGGUACCCUUAAAGGAAGCACCGGCUAACUACGUGCCAGCAGCCGCGGUAAUACGUAGGGUGCAAGCGUUGUUCGGAAUCAUUGGCGUAAAGCGUGUGUAGGUGGCUUGCUAAGUUGAUUGUGAAAUCCCUGGGCUCAACCGAGGAAGUGCAGUCAAAACUAGUAGGCUAGAAGAUGGCAGAGGAAGGUGGAAUUCCAAGUGUAGAGGUGAAAUUCGUAGAUAUUUGGAGGAAUACCGGCGGCGAAGGCGGCCUUCUGGACCAUUCUUGACACUGAGACACGAAAGCGUGGGUAGCAAACAGGCUUAGAUACCCUGGUAGUCCACCCCGUAAACGUUGGGAACUAGUUGUGGGGUCCAUUCCACGGAUUCCGUGACGCAGCUAACGCAUUAAGUUCCCCGCCUGGGGAGUACGGCCGCAAGGCUAAAACUCAAAGGAAUUGACGGGGACCCGCACAAGCGGCGGAGCAUGCGGAUUAAUUCGAUGCAACGCGAAGAACCUUACCAAGGCUUGACAUAUACGAGAACGGGCCAGAAAUGGUCAACUCUUUGGACACUCGUAAACAGGUGGUGCAUGGUUGUCGUCAGCUCGUGUCGUGAGAUGUUGGGUUAAGUCCCGCAACGAGCGCAACCCUCGUUCUAUGUUGCCAGCACGUAAUGGUGGGAACUCAUGGGAUACUGCCCGGGGUCAACUCGGAGGAGGUGGGGAUGACGUCAAAUCAUCAUGCCCCUUAUGUCUUGGGCUUCACGCAUGCUACAUGGCCGGUACAAAGGGCUGCAUACCGUAAAGGUGGAGCGAAUCCCAAAAGCCGGUCCAGUUCGGAU
rnacentral:rRNA from 1 species